UUGAAGUGACAAAAAAUACACUGGUGCCAGCUGUGGGCACCUUCCAACAUUCUGAAAAAUCACUGAUUUCUGCCAAACACCACAGCCCGAGACUGAGCAUCUGAGCGUGGGAGAUGAUCACCCCAAUCCCGCAACAGAGAGAGAGAGAGAAACCAUUGUCUCAGUUAUACACAUCUGACUCU